AUGUAGCCGUGUCCUGGGUGCACACGCGAGUCAGCGUGUGCAUGUGGUGGGGGAGGGGCGACCCCAGGACAAUAUCCUUCCCCCACUCGGUCUCAAUAGGAGGAAGCCACUGGCUUCCUCCCUUUCCUGCCUCCUGCCUCCUGCGCGCUGGCAAGAUUGAGGACAGUGGGGAGAGAGGGGAAGAGAACCAGUCCAACAGUCCCCAGGUCUGCCCUUACCACACCCUCCCCCACCUCAAGGGACCCCCCCCAUUCCAGGACCUUCCAGGCCACACCCAUCCCCAGCCCGGUGGGGGCCGGUCUAGGGGGCCCAGAGGCCCAGAGCAGGACAGGUCCUCCCCACCCGUCUCCCCUGCCACCCCUCCCACCCAAGCUAACUCAUUUCCUCUUCCUCCCACACCAACACGCACUGACCGUACAGGCUGCGCAGCCAGCCCCAGAGUGACUGACCGUGGGCCCCGCUUGUCCUGGCUGGCCUGGCCAGCCUCCGGAGUAUGGUCUGGCUGGGACCCCCUUGGCUGCUCCGCAUCUUCUUCCUGGCUUCUCAUGUUGGCGGCCAGAACAAUAGAUGCAAGUCUCAGAGGCGUGGAAGCGCACGGGAGAGAAGGUUCCUGCGGGGGAUGCAGCAGGAGGGACAGUGUGAGCAGCAAGGGGACUCUAGAGCAAGCACUGCAUCUUGAGAGCAAUGGGGAGCCAUGGAAGGUUGUAGCCAGCCAGUCACGAGGUCUUAGAUGGAUCACUCUGGAGGAGAGUUGAGGAAGGGGGGGUGGCCAUCUGGGGACAGUGCAGGGGAGGAAGGGCGAGGGUUAAUUAACGAGGGCGAGCUUGGAGCUGGGGAUGAAGUCAAGAGGCUUUGAGGAAGUAGAGUUUGCGGAAUUUUGUAAUUGACCAGGCAGCCAGUGCAGUGCUUCGAGGGGUGGACCUCAGAGUCCACAGCCUGGCUCUGCCAGUCAUUAACUGCAUGAUCUUGGGCACGUUAUUUGUCUGAGCCUUCAUUCGCCAGCUAUAAAACUGGGAUAAUAACAGCCACCUCCCAGGAGAGCUGGGCUGAUAAAAUCAGACAACACGGGUAAAGGACUCGGCAUACAAUCGACCUCCCGUAAACAUUCAUUAUUAUGACAGCGGGAGUAGGAGGUGGCUCCAAAGCUUGUAUCACAGAUGGCUUUUGCCGUCUACGAAGACAGGGAGCCGCGAGGAGCAGGUCUGGGGAAUGCUGAUGGAAACACAGGCCCAAGCUGAGAGGUCCAGCAUCCCAAGGAUACUGACUCAGAUGUGAUGGUGGGAGUUUCUGCUGUGGCUCGGCAGUAAUGAACCCAACAAGUAUGCAUGAGGAUGAGGGUUCGAUCCCUGGCCUCCCUCAGUGGGUUCAGGAUCUGGUGUUGCCGUAAGCUGUGAUGGAGGUCGCAGACUCGGCUUGGAUCUGGCAUGGCUGUGCGGUUGGUUGGCCGGCAACUGCUGCUCCAAUUCGACCCCUAGCCUGGGAACCUCCAUAUGCUGCAGGUGCGGCCCUAAAAAGAUAAAAAAAGAAGUGAUAGUGAAAAGUUGGGGGAAGAGAUGAGCCUUAACAAUAAUUACUACCACCUCCUCUGUGGAUGGGGAGACAUUCGCUUUCGGAGGCUGUGAGGAUCCAGUGGACAAAGAGGUGCUCAGCCCAGAUCAGGCAGUCGGCAAACGCCAGCUUCAUUUACUCCUGGCCGGCUUUCAAGGAAUACCCAUUGAUAAGCCAAGCAGCAUGUAAACCACUUGGCAGUGACCAGGCAGGGACAGAGUAGGAAGGGCUUGGGAAGGCACGGGAUCCAUCCUGGGGCUGAGGAGCCCUUCCUGGUCCCUCUGUGCUGCUGCCUCACACUGUGUGCCCAGCCACACUGAGCCUGGACAACCCCCUUGUCCACACCACGACAGUUUUCAUUCCAUGCCUUUCCUCAGGCUGCAGCCUCUGCCUAGACUGCCCUUCCUCCCACUGACCUCUCGCCAUCCCCAUUCUCAGCCCCACUGUUUCCCACUCAGCUUGAAGACCCUCCAGCUACAUCUCCCAGGAGGCACCUCUUCAUCCCCUGCCUCCCCGCCCCCAUGAUGGGCUAGGUGUCCCUUCUCUGCGCUCGUCCACCGCGCCCUGCAUGUCCACAUCUCUUUCCCCAUUGGCCUGGGAGCUCUUUGGGAGGCAAAGACCAAGGUGUCUGCGUGUGUGUUGGAGGGGGGGGGGGCAAGUAUGCCCCAGGGCCUGCCCUCCCGGCUUCUGGCCUUUUGCUGGGCCCAGAGCUCUCUUCCCUUCUGCUCCCCAACCACGUGGCUGCAGAACCCUGCCCCUCCCGCCCUCCAUCCCAGCCCAGUAAACAGGUCUAGAUUUCCCAAGUGAGAGGAGGGGGUCCCUCCAAGACACUUCCGUUUCCUGGAGCUCUCCUAGUGGUGGGGGGCAGGGACGGCGGCUCCCCUUCGCUGGAUGCUGCACGGCUGCAGAGACAGGUCAGGAAAGGGGUCUGCCAGGAAUAAAGCGAGGAAACGGAGCCGGGGAGCUCUUUCUUUGGGCUGGGCUGGAAAGGGAAGCCAUCUGGCAGGAGAAGGGAGGGGAUGAGGAGGCCAGAGAGGGGGGUCUGUUUUUGUUUUUGUUCUUUUAGGAUGAAGAGGCU
ensembl:lncRNA